UACGUAGGGUGCAAGCGUUGUCCGGAAUUAUUGGGCGUAAAGAGCUCGUAGGCGGUUUGUCGCGUCUGCUGUGAAAACUGGAGGCUCAACCUCCAGCCUGCAGUGGGUACGGGCAGACUAGAGUGCGGUAGGGGAGAUUGGAAUUCCUGGUGUAGCGGUGGAAUGCGCAGAUAUCAGGAGGAACACCGAUGGCGAAGGCGGGUCUCUGGGCCGAUACUGACGCUGAGGAGCGAAAGCAUGGGUAGCGAACAGG
rnacentral:rRNA from 1 species